CUCCGCUAAAAACCUUCCGCGACCUAACCUCCUCCGCCAAAAGCCUCCCUUUGCGAAAACAUACCAAAACUUCUUCCGCCGAAACCCUCCUUCGCGUCGCCCGCGCCUAGCCUCCGCUCAUUCUACUCACUCACUGCCUCCUCCGCUCAUUCUACCCACUCACUGCCUCCUACUCGCUGUCGUACCCACUCGCUCCGCCAUCGUUAGUUGCGGCCAAGAAGAAGGAAUCUGGAGAAGACCCAAUGGAACAGAGAAGUCGGUGUUGCCUCCCCUCUCGCCUCGAGUGAUCCUCCCACAGCCAGCGGAGAAACCGACGUUAGUCUCCAAGGAUUAUGCUACAUGCUGGAGAAGUGCUAUCCAUGACCUUCCCGCUGUGGGUGGGGAAAACGUGUUGUGUUGCCCUUUCAUUCCUCUGGGUGGACAAGAACUUGGAAAUAUUUGGCCCUACCCUCACUCUGCUCGGUCUCUUCAUCUCUCUUGGCAUUCGUCCGAUUACUAACGAUUAGGAUCCUAAAAGAAAGGUACACAAGCCUGUUAAAGGUGUAUUGAAAAUGGAGGUUGAAAAGCUUCAUACUUCACUUGUUGAUGUGGACAAUAUCUCUGACGGUGGAAGCAUAAUCAUUGACUCAAAUGAUGAUGGUGAUCGUUUUACUGAAACUUCUCUAGGAAAGCAUCAUAGCAAUGGUCCUGAUAUCCCCAGGAGUGGUAGUUUGAAGUUCAUCAACAUUAAUCGAAAAGAUAUUUAUAGGAAUGUGUCAAUUCCAGUCAGAGAAGAUCAUCCUGAUUUUAGUGACCAUGUAAGUAGUAUUUUGUCUGCUAUUUAUCAACAUUCAAUCUGUAAUCUUGCUUUAACACAUCCUGAAGUUCAGCAGAUUUGUCUAUUCACUUUACUUAAAAGCAUAAUGUUUCUAAAUUAUAGGUGCUACUUUGCUAGUAUUGUUGUCAUAUUUUCUUUAUAAAACAUUACUCUUCCUGAUUCUUAAAGCUAGCUUCUCUGUGCCAUCUCUUGGAUUUUAUUUGCGGGCACUUGUGAACAUUCUCUAUUGGCGAUUCUGGUGGCUCUCUUAGGUAAAAAACACACUAUAAGGUUAUUCUUUCAUGGAUAUGUAGUAAUUUAUAGGAAGUGUAUCUUAGUCAUUUCAAGUUGUAAGCUUAUUAUAGUUGUUUUGCAUAUUUGUUUGUUUGUUAUUUUUUUUUUCUGUCACAUGUUAUUUUGGAAAAUUAAAUUAAAGUAUCUACUAUUUCUACUUGCAUGCUAUUGUUUAGCAGAACAAUAUAUCAUUAAUUUCUUUUAAAAUAUCCUCUUGUAUCCUUGCUAGGCAAAUUGUGGAAACCUAUAUCUGCUUAGUUACCUCUCACUUAUCAGAACUUCAUGUACAAAGAAAACUUAUCAGAACUUCAUGUACAAAGAAAGUUUGUUGAUUAGGGCACAUAGACAAUUAAUUAGCCCAUUUUGUUUUAGGCUACAAAUUUUUUGAUCUUUAUAGCUCAUGAUUUUACAGUUUCAAGCUUUUGAUUUUUGGAGGAUGACUAGAAGCGAGCCAUUCUGACAACUUUUCCAUUGUCUUUAUGUUUAUCCUUUAACUGUUAGCUUGGGUCGUAAAAGAAAUUUGUUCAUAAGGAUAUAAAUGUGAAAGGAUGAUGCUGACAUCCAAAAGCAGCCAUUAGAGGUUUGUGUUAAUGAGAAGUGGUUAGGUUGUUGUUUAUCACUUUCACUUUAGAAUUCUUCAAUCUGUUGAGUUUCUGGUUGUUUGGUUGCUCAAGCUGAGUUUCCAAAGGAACAAGGUCAAACUCUUGAAAAGUAUACUCAUACACAAAUUGCAGUUGGAGCUAGAAUGGCUUGCUACCAUGAUGAAGUUAAACUUUGCCUCCUUGCUAUUUUGACACCCCAACACCAUCUCUUGUUUACUUUUUUUUCGUGUCAAACUUCUGAUGAAACUUGAAGCUUCCAAGCCUGUGAUUAUUGAUUAUGCUGCACUUCCUUUGACUUCCCACAUUCAGUAAGUGCUGCAUAUCUAAAUAUGAUGUCUUUUAUAUAUUUCUGAUCUUAACUUUGCUUUAAGCUAAAUUAAUCCUAUUCAUUUAUUUAGUUUCUUUUGAAAUUGACAUACAAUAUAUUUUUCCUAUUACCUCAACAUUCUUUUUUCUUUUAGAUUUCUCUUGAGCUUUCUCUUUUUAUGGUUUCCUAGAAGGAAGGCUUUGAACUUUAUUAGUCUAUUGUUAAGACACAUUUUCCCUAUUGUAUCACUGAUGUUUGUGUCAAGUCAUUAAAAUAUACUGAAAGGUAUAUCUAUAACAAGAAUUUGAUUAUAGAUCUCGGUAUAAAUAUUCUCCUUGCUAUACAAUCAUUUUAAAAGCCUAUUUCCGUUUUUUACAUUUACAAAAUUUUAGUUAUUUAUUCUAUGAUGUUUUAUAGAUGUCACAUAGGAUGGACUGUUAUCCUUUACCUUUGUCAUUAUCAAGUAUUCUAGUUAUGAGGGAGUUAUACUUCAAGUUUAUGAAAGCCCACAGUGAAAACCAUAUACAAUAUAGUGAAUGUGCAUUUUCAUGUUUAACUUAUGUUUUCUUUCCCAUUUUCACAUCCCUUUGUGGCUUCACAGGUUGUGCUUGCUCCUGUGCUAGUCGGUGCAAUUCUGAACCAAUAUUGCAAUAAUCUUAUUUGUUGUAACUAAUAGCUAUUACAUCUGUAGCAGUACUUUGUGGCAGAGCAAUUGCUCAAAAUGCCUCGGCAAUCCAUUGACAGCGGUCCCUUGUGCCGUGUGUAGUGUUUACCAAGCGGUCUAUGGCAGUAUCUUGGCUGGGAUAUGGCGACGCAUGACCCCCAAAACCAAAGAGAAGGAUUGCUACAUUUUAUUGCCAUCAGUCUCCAAGUCAGAUUGGUGAUAGUCCUUUCAUCUAUAUUUCCGCCGUUCCAAUAUUAUAUUUGUAUUUGACUUUAAAUAUAGUAAAUUUUGAGUGCCUGAGGCCAUGGCAUGAUUUCUUCCUCUACUGACGUA